rnacentral:lncRNA from 1 species
UGCAAAUCAAAUAUUAUCAAUUGUAAUGAUUAAAGAAAAUUUAUCAUGUAAUAUAAGCUCUCUCUUCUUCCGUGACCAAUUUUAUUUUUUUCAAUUCUGAAACUUUGUAUUUGUUCAAACAAACAAAGAAUUGGUCAACUUUGAGAGAAAAUAUAUUUUUUAAUUCACAAAUUAAAUGAAUAAUAUUAAUCAUAAUUUAAUUUUUAUAUAUCACUUCAUCAAAUGAUAAAAGUUUCUUUCUAAUCAAAUUAUUUUUCAAAAUAGUAAUUUAAUUAUUUUCGAUUAUCUAAUCAAAUAAAAUUACUGAAUUAUUACCAAGCACGAUUACUUAAUCACCAUAUGUAGAAUAUUAUAAUUUUUAAAUGAUUGACCCAUACCACCACCUUAAAUUUGCAAUCAUGAUAAUUUCAAAUAAAAAAAAAUCUUCAAUGGAUUUGUUUAAAAACAAAAAAUAAAUUUAAAUAAUACAAUAGCUUUAUUCCAAAUUUUCUUGUUUGUUAUUCACAAUUUUUUCCUUGAAAUUUUAACCUUAAUAAUAAUAAACAUAUGAGAAAAUGAAAUGUUCCAAAUUCUAGUGAACUAACUAUAAUUGUGCAAUGAUUUUUGUUUAAUUUCGUCUGAAAUAGUAUCAACCAAACAUAAUAUCCAUUCAUUGUUGUAAAUUAAAAAAAAGAGGUUAUAGUGAUUUGAAUAUUUUGCUUUAUCUCAAAUUACGAUGAACAACAUACUGGGGCACCUGUCAGUUAAAUUUCUUUGAUGCUUAAUAGUUGAAGACAAUCCAUUAAAAAAAAAAAGGGAGUUGAAGACAAGGCUAUCAAAAUUAAAAAUAUUAUAUAUUUAGUUGAAGACAAGUAAAUUGGGGUUCACUUCCAUCGUUUGUUAACCGGUAAAGAGACAAAUAAUUGAUCCUCUCCCAAAAGGAAUUAUGCAAAGUUUAAUUGCACGAGCGGGGAUGAAAU